rnacentral:tRNA from 1 species
GCGGGCGUAAUUCAGUGGUAGAAUGCAAGCUUCCCAAGCUUGACGCCGUGGGUUCGAUCCCCAUCGCCCGCU